GGAAUCUUGCGCAAUGGGCGAAAGCCUGACGCAGCGACGCCGCGUGGGGGAUGAAGCUUUUCGGAGUGUAAACCCCUUUCGACCCGGACGAAACGCCCGCAAGGGCUUGACGGUACGGGUAUAAGAAGCACCGGCUACCUCCGUGCCAGCAGCCGCGGUAAUACGGAGGGUGCAAGCGUUAAUCGGAAUUACUGGGCGUAAAGCGCGCGUAGGUGGUUUGAUAAGCGAGAUGUGAAAGCCCCGGGCUUAACCUGGGAACGGCAUUUCGAACUGUCAGGCUAGAGUAUGGUAGAGGAGUGUGGAAUUUCCUGUGUAGCGGUGAAAUGCGUAGAUAUAGGAAGGAACACCAGUGGCGAAGGCGGCACUCUGGACCAAUACUGACACUGAGGUGCGAAAGCGUGGGGAGCA
rnacentral:rRNA from 1 species